rnacentral:tRNA from 1 species
CGGCCUGUAGCUCAGCGGAAGAGCGCCGGUCCUACCAACCGGGCGUCGCAGGUUCGAACCCCGCCGGGCCGA